rnacentral:rRNA from 1 species
ACAGGCGGGCGGAGCAUGGCGGAUUAAUUCGAUGCAACGCGAAGAACCUUACCAAGGCUUGACAUGUUCUCGAUCGCCGUAGAGAUACGGUUUCCCCUUUGGGGCGGGUUCACAGGUGGUGCAUGGUUGUCGUCAGCUCGUGUCGUGAGAUGUUGGGUUAAGUCCCGCAACGAGCGCAACCCUCGUUCCAUGUUGCCAGCACGUAAUGGUGGGGACUCAUGGGAGACUGCCGGGGUCAACUCGGAGGAAGGUGAGGACGACGUCAAAUCAUCAUGCCCCUUAUGUCUUGGGCUUCACGCAUGCUACAAUGGCCGGUACAAUGGGUUGCGAUACUGUGAGGUGGAGCUAAUCCCAAAAAGCCGGUCUCAGUUCGGAUUGGGGUCUGCAACUCGACCCCAUGAAGUCGGAGUCGCUAGUAAUCGCAGAUCAGCAACGCUGCGGUGAAUACGUUCCCGGGCCUUGUACACACCGCCCGUCAAGUCACGAAAGUUGGUAACACCCGAAGCCGGUGGCCUAACCCUUGUGGGGGGAGCCGUCGAAGGUGGGACCAGCGAUUGGGACUAAGUCGUAACAAGGUAGCCGUACCGGAAGGUGCGGCUGGACAAACCUCCAUAG